AGAGAUGGGAGAUUCUGAGAACUCAUGAACUAAGCGGUGGCAGUCACUGUCACGAAACAAACAUUCAGUCGUCGCACGAUCUCCUUCGGGAGCCACGGCGAAGGCUGGAUGAAACCCGAGCUAGCGCAUUUUCGCGCCAAGGCAAUGUGCAAAACACGAGCCCCAGCAGGUCUGGCGGCAUUGAUUAUAUGACUCUCGGCAACGGAUAUCUCGGCUCUCGCAUCGAUGAAGAGCGCAGCGAAAUGCGAUACGUGGUGCGAAUUGCAGAAUCCCGUGAACCAUCAAGUCUUUGAACGCAAGUUGCGCCCGAGGCCAAUCGGCUAAGGGCACGUCCGCCUGGGCGUCAAGCGUUGCUCCGCUUCGUGCCACCGCCACGCACCAACGGGCGUGUUCGUGCGGUCUCGAAUGCGAAGAGUGGUCCGCCGUGCUCAUCGGCGCGGCGGAUUGAAGAACGGGUCGUCGUCCUCAUGGCCACGAACGACAAGGGGUGGACGGAAGCCACGAGCACGGCCAAACAGUGUCUCACGCUGGCCCGAGGGCGAUCAUAGAUCCCCAGCGAACCCAAAUCCACACGCCGCGCCGCAAGCGGCGAUUUGGAAU
rnacentral:rRNA from 1 species